GCCCGGGUGGUGGAAUUGGUAGACACAGCAGACUUAAAAUCUGCCGAUCUUAAUUGAUCGUGCCGGUUCAAGUCCGGCUCCGGGCACCA
rnacentral:tRNA from 1 species